CCGAGUUAUCAACUCCCAAACCCCUGUGAACAUACCUUUUGUUGCCCUCGGCGGGAUCGCCCCGGCGCCUCCGGGCCCGGAACCAGGCGCCGCCCCGCCCAGGACCCCCAAACUCUUGUUUUCUAUAUGAAUCUUCUGAGUGACACAAGCAAAUAAAUUA
rnacentral:misc_RNA from 1 species